GCAGGUUUGAGAAAGAACCAGCUGGAUCCUCAAUUAAAAAUAAAACUUGUUUAAUAAGGUGAGGUGCUGUAAAUAGGCACAAACAAAGAAGGCAAAGAACGACGCAUUAUAAACCUAAUAAUGUACACUAAUAUACAGAUCCAAAUACUAACAUAUAUGCGAUCAAAUGUAUAAAAUCAAAGUACAUUUCUAAAUACAUAAAAUAUGCCAAGUAUUAAUAACCCUUCACUUUAGCUUUCUCUAAAACAAGAACAGAAUCCCAAGUAAGCUGAUUUAGAACUGCUUUAUAACAAUCAGCUUCUGUUAAUCACUUUACAAAACUGAGAGUUGAUUGGUGAAAAUGUUCGGAAAACCUUUAGCACUGAUAGCAUCCUUUUGCUAACGUUAGCAAGCUGUAUUUCUGGUUAAAUGAGAGCUGAGUUCGUGAGAAUAAUGAGUUUUUGCUUGUUCAGGGUCAAAUGUAGUUGACGGUGAAGUGGCAGUCAGAGCUAGAUACUACCUGACAAUGAGCAGGAGCGAAGAACCACACAGGUUAAACUCUUCUAGCAUUUCUGUUGCUUUCCAGUGUGCAGUCCCUAAAAAAAUGUGGAUUUUUGAUACUGAAUUUUAUACUGGACCUGAAUGGUUAAGGACAGAUCUGGUUUGUUAGAGGAAUGCACUGAAAUGGAAGUCACCUGUCUGGCUAGUUUAAGUGGGGCUAGUUCAAAUAAGCCUUUCUAAAAAAUGUUUUUUGUUUUAUUUAAACCUUGCUUAAUACAAUACCAUACAAGACAUUUAAUUCAUUUAAUCCAUAAUCCCGAGAAGCAAUUCCCAUUCAUUUAAAAAAGGAAAAAUGUAUAAAUAAAAUGAAUAGCAUCUGUGAGUGGUGCUUUCAGCUUAAACAUUUGGAGGCACUGAUUGUGCUUAAUGACAAUUUGCAUAUAUUUUAGAAAUAGUAUUAUAGAAAAAAGUUUAAAUUAUAAUUAUUUUUGUUGCACUAAAUCAUUAACUGCAAUCAUUUUGCCCAUUCUAUUGAUGAGACCUUCAUGAGAAAAUUCUGCAAGAGCAAAGAAAAUGCUCGACUCGAGGGUGCACUUCUGCCACACUAAAUGCUCGGUCACAUUUAGACAUCACUAAUAGGCUUCUUUCUGGUGUGCAUCUCAGACGCACUUUAACACACAGAGCAGCAGUACGGCUUUUCCCCAGUGUGUAUCCCCUGGUACAGCUUAAGGUGGCUUGUUGUUGUGAAUCCUUUGCUGGCAGGCGGGGUGGCUGUAAGGCUUCUGUCCAGUGUGCAUUAGUUUGUACACUGUAAGAUGCUAUGACUGAUUCAGAGCUGCACCGAGGGUAGAUGUGUCGUACCGUUUUCCACAGAGAUCACAGUGGAAAGGCUUCUCUCCUCUGUGUGUUCUGUGGUGGAAUAUAAGACAUGAACAGUGAAGAAAUGUCUUCACACAUCGAGAGCACUGGUAAGGCUCUACUCGGGUGUGCACCCUUUGGUGCCUCCGCAGUUGUGAUCCUUGUGAAACGGUUUUCCUGACUAUGUGCACUGGUAAGGCUUCUCUGCAGCGUGCACUCUCUGUUGUCUACACAGUUUUUAUUGUUGUGAAAACUCUUUUCCAAACCGUGUCUAAUAGUAAUGCUUCUCUUCUGUAUGCACUUUUUGAUGUCUCCCAAAAGCAAAUGAACUUCUGAAACUCCUACUGCACCGGCUGCACUGAUACACCCUUCGUCCCUUACAAAGUGCAUUACGGUUGCCUGAAAGACGUAAUGCAUCGACGCUCUUCCCAAACGUAACUUUUCUGGGGGUCUUUCUUUUGAUCGUUUGUUCUUGUGAGGUACUUUUAUCCUCUUCAUCCUCAGAAGAUGACUGUCUGGACUUGCCUGCAAUUUCCCUCAGCUGUUGCUUUUCUGUUUUGUAAUUUGCUGCAAUCCUCCAGCCUGACUGAACUCAUCUUUAAUUGAGCCUGUAAUGUUUGCUGGUCUCCAUCAAACCUGCUGGAUUUACCUGAAAAACAUUUUCAAAAGAAGAAACGGUCGCUAAAGCAACAUCACCUUUUACCAAGUUUACCACGAAACUGGACAUUUCAUUCACAAACUAUAGCUUAUUUAGUCCAUGUGGU
ensembl:lncRNA